rnacentral:rRNA from 1 species
UACGUAGGGUGCGAGCGUUGUCCGGAAUUAUUGGGCGUAAAGAGCUCGUAGGCGGUUUGUCGCGUCUGCUGUGAAAACUGGAGGCUCAACCUCCAGCCUGCAGUGGGUACGGGCAGACUAGAGUGCGGUAGGGGAGAUUGGAAUUCCUGGUGUAGCGGUGAAAUGCGCAGAUAUCAGGAGGAACACCAACGGCGAAGGCAGCUCUCUGGGACGUUACUGACGCUGAGACGCGAAAGCGUGGGGAGCAAACAGG